CGGGACGCUCCAGCAGCAGGGAAUAUUGCACAAUGGACGGAAGUCUGAUGCAGCGACGCCGCGUGGAUGAUGAAGGCCCUCGGGUUGUAAAAUCCUUUUCAGGGGGACGAGGAAGGACGGUACCCUUGGAAUAAGCGUCGGCUAACUACGUGCCAGCAGCCGCGGUAAGACGUAGGACGCAAGCGUUAUCCGGAUUUACUGGGCGUAAAGCGUCUGUAGGCGGAAUGGUAAGUUGGACGUGAAAGCUCCGGGCUCAACCCGGAGAGGUCGUUCAAUACUGCCAAACUAGAGGGCAUCAGAGGAGCGUGGAAUUUCCGGUGUAGCGGUAAAAUGCGCAGAUAUCGGAAGGAACACCAAUGGCGAAGGCAGCGCUCUGGGAUGAACCUGACGCUAAGAGACGAAAGCUAGGGGAGCGAACAGGAUUAGAUACCCGGGUAGUC
rnacentral:rRNA from 1 species